UACAGAGGUCUCAAGCGUUGUUCGGAUUCAUUGGGCGUAAAGGGUGUGUAGGUGGCGCGCUAAGUCGGGUGUGAAAUUUCGGAGCUUACUCCGAAACUGCAUCGAUACUGGCGUGCUUGAGGACUGGAGAGGAGACGUGAAUUCAUGGUGGUAGCAGUGAAAUGCGUAGAGAUCAUGAGGAAGACCAGUGGCGAAGGCGGGUCGUGCGUGGGCCGAUACUGACGCUGAGGAGCGAAAGCGUGGGAGCGA
rnacentral:rRNA from 1 species